AUUGAACGCUGGCGGCAUGCCUUACACAUGCAAGUCGAACGGCAGCACGGGUGCUUGCACCUGGUGGCGAGUGGCGAACGGGUGAGUAAUACAUCGGAACGUACCUUAUCGUGGGGGAUAACGCAGCGAAAGCUGUGCUAAUACCGCAUACGCCCUGAGGGGGAAAGCGGGGGAUCGCAAGACCUCGCGCGAUUAGAGCGGCCGAUGCCUGAUUAGCUUGUUGGUGGGGUACAAGCCCACCAAGGCGACGAUCAGUAGCUGGUCUGAGAGGACGGUCAGCCACACUGGGGCUGAGACACGGCCCAGACUCCAACGGGAGGCAGCAGUGGGGAAUUUUGGACGAUGGGGGCAACACUGAUCCAGCAAUGCCGCGUGAGUGAAGAAGGCCUUCGGGUUGUAAAGCUCUUUUGUCAGGGAAGAAACACCGGCUCUAACACAGUCCGGGAAUGACGGUACCUGAAGAAUAAGCACCGGCUAACUACGUGCCAGCAGCCGCGGUAA
rnacentral:rRNA from 1 species